CUGACCUAUCAACUCGAGGACGGUGGGGUAGAGGCCCGCCGCGGUAACGACGGGUAACGGGGAAUCAGGUUCGAUUCCGGAGAGGGAGCCCGAGAAACGGCUACCACUUCCAAGGAAGGCAGCAGGCGCGCAACUUACCCUAAUCUCGAUUCGAGGAGGUAGUGACAAGAAAUACCGAUGCGGGACCCUACGGGUGCCGCGUUCGGAAUGAGUACGAUUCGAACCACCUAACGAGGAACGAUCGGAGGGCAAGUCUGGUGCCAGCAGCCGCGGUAAUUCCAGCUCCAAUAGCGUACGUUAAAGUUGCUGCAGUUAAAAAGCUCGUAGUUGAACGUUCGGGUUCCGCGGGACGGGGCCGCCCCGCGAGGGACGGCGCCGCCCCGGGGCUCGUGAUAUCUUAUCUCGCCGCCCGUCGCGAGGCGGACGGAGGGAUGGAUGAGGUUACCUGGAAAAAAUCGGGGCGAUCUAGGCGGGCGAACCUCGCCAACGAACGAUCGGACAUGGGAUAACGGAAGAGGGCGUCGGCUCGACUUCGUCGGUUCCUCGGGCCGAGGCACGUACGGUGAAUAGGGACGGUCGGGGCC
rnacentral:rRNA from 1 species